GGAGGACCGGGCCCGCCCCCGGACACUACAACCCACAGCCCGUCCUCUGGCCCCCAGCCGUCUGCCGCCGACACCACUACGGAAGGGCUGGCGUCACCCUGCCCCGGACAGGGCGUCGCCGUCGCGUCCUCGAGUGGCACGGACGUAUCUGGCAUGCCCAUGGUGCACUGCGUGUCCUCGAGUAACGAGCAGGAACCUGCCGGGUACCAGGUAACCCCUGGCUCGGCCGCCAAGUACCCUCGCCCCGAUUCGUAUGCCGAGCCGCAGCCGCAGCACUACCGGCAACAGACCCAGCAGAGCGCCGCUACGGGGCGCAGGAAGGCCGCUGACGGACACCGCCACGGCGGCCCAGAGGGAGUCUCAAACUGAACAGCCCACAUGAAAGUGCCAUCCUGCAAGUGAUACCGGACCUGGACCGAAUUUCGCAGAGACGAGUGGCAGACAGUGGAGGGGGGCCGGGUGCCACUACGCGGUGACCUCUGCCCUCCCCCUCACCGAGCUACGUGGCGGGAGCUCUGUGAGCUACCUGCAGUCGUGCACCACACCAAUCUCCGAUACCGAAUUUAGGCUGCCAGUUUCCCUCUACUGGCAGUCUGACACCGCCGUCUCAGUUCCGAUCACUCACAGACAUCGGACACAUUCAAUUACGGUGCCUCCUCGAUGGUGUGAGACUACGGCCACGUGAAGAUACUUCCCGGCUGAGGACAAAUGUGUUACAAAGUCAGUCAGUCUGACAGUUUGGCGUAGAGGAGUAACAGAAAAAUGUGUCAUUACUGCAUUACCGUAGAAUGUAUCACUUGUACUAGUGGACUCGAGGACCGACUUUUUAGUAUUCACCGUGUCGUGGUAAGGUGAAAAAUAAAUAAUCGGUAGUUGCCUUUUCCUGUGAAGCGGGUACAUAGGUCAGUACGUGUGCUGCCGGUAUGGGAGGUAGAUUUUUUUAAAGCUUUUGCAUUUUUAAUCCACUUUGUAUAUCACGUGUACACUGCUGUACCCGUAGCAGUCAGUUACGUUUUUUUGUACUCAAUUUCUGUAACUUCUGAGUUGAUUUUCUGCACUAGUUUAAAAACUGUGUGUCCAAGUUAUCAGUAUCUUGACUCACUACCAGACAAUUUAUUUUGUUUCUGAGAAACUGUUUAGUCAGAAGAACCGAACAUGUUAGUGUAAUCGUUGUGCUGCCAGUAGUGAAUAUGAGUAGCUGACUGUAGCUCUGCAAGUUUUGCCAGGUGGGCGAGUAUUUUGUAUGUCGAGAGCGAGCACCGGUCGAAGAUAUUUUGUAUAUUGACAAUGAGCUCCAGUUUAUUUUUUUUAUGAAUAAUGUAACAUGUAUUUGCACCGAGAAGCUACAGGGCGAUAGAGAUACGGACGGUGUUCCCACUCCGUCUGUCCGUUUGAAUGUGGAAUGAUUGUUUGCACUGCAGGUAGUGCUACUUUGUAACAAAAAGCAGAGUAGCAGUGAGUGUAGCAUGUCUCGGAAGUGAGUAUUUUAAACUGAGUUUUAUGUGAUGAAUGACUGGCAGUAAGGCUGUAGCUACAUCACAUUGCUUUUUCUCCAGAGGCCCUUUUUCCAUAUCCCACAGUACACAACUUGCGAGAGGAGGACCUGUGAAAUGUGCCACUUUUACAAUCUUAUGACCUGGUGUGUCCUAAUGAUCUAAGAGAGCUGUAGCAACUGUUUAGUACACCUCGGGCUCGUUACUUCACUCCUCUCGUAAGUGGGCAGGGUGUGGGAAAUAUGCACACUCCAUUUUAAAUAAUUUGUUGUGCUUUUCUCCUGGUCUUUGCUAUUUUUCAAUUCUUCUGUACCUACUUGAUUUAUGUGAUCUGUAGAUGACAGAAACUGCUCAGGGAGCUGCAGAAGUCUUAUGCAGCAAAGGGUUUUGUGCAAUAUGUCAAGGAAUGCUCUAAGCCCCCAACUUUUUUCUCUCUCUCUCUCUCUCUCUCUCUCUCUCUCUGUGUGUGUGUGUGUGUGUGUGUGUGUGUGUGUGUGUGUGUGUGUGUGUGUGGGUGGGCAAAGAAGGUUGAGACAAAUUAGAGUGAGAAUUACCUGUUUUAAAUAUUAUUUAACUGAACAGCUAAUAUUUAUAGUCAUCAAAUAUGUAGUUGUCAGGCCAAUGUAAAGCUGAAUUCUUUCAGUAUUUGUGAUUGACUGUUAAUUGUGAAUGCUGAUUUUAUACAAUCAUUGUUUUCAAUUUCUGAGGUGCAAAAUGAAGGUAGGGUGAAAAGUGGAGCCACCAGAGAAAGUAUUGUCUUCCCUUUGGAGCCCCUUAAAUUGUGACUGGGAAACUGUUCCUACUGCAUUCGCUUACUUUCAUUGUUAGUGCUGCUAAGUAUUUACAUAGUCAGUUUUUCGCCUAUGCUGCCAGUUAUGGUUGCACACUGAAUGUUUUGGUUGCUGGUAUUAUAUUUUUAUUCCUAGUGUUUUGUAAUUUGUUUUUCGCCCCUCACAUUGUACUAUUUUACUUGUUUUAUUAUUGUAUCUUGCUGAGGUCACAAAAUGAGUAAUGAGGUGCAACGGUUAUUAUAUACCAUUACACAGAGAUCUUUCACGAUUUAAUAUUUUUUUAAAUUGUUAUUUUCA